GCCAGCAGCUAUAUCACCCUGCAGCUAAGUAGGGUUGAGCCUGGUCAGUACCUGGAAGGGCGACCACCUGGGAAGGUAUGGUUGCUGCUGGAA
rnacentral:rRNA from 1 species